ACUAAUUUACUGGGACACUGGGGAAGAAUUAAGGGCAGGUAAACCUGGACUCUGUAGCUUUAAUAACUCUUGGUCAAGCAAUUCCAUCUAAGGAAGUUUGGAUCUUGUUUGAACUGCAGGUAGCUUAAAGCUGCUGCAGCCAUCCUUGAAUUUAAUUUUGUUUUACCCUCUGAAGAUCAGUAAAACAGGGGUUUCCAUGCACUGGGUGCUAUGGGUUGGCAUGAAUCAAAAUAAUUUAGGAGCAGUACUGAGUGCUCUGAAAAGCAGAGGAAAACAAGGAAAGCAUUCUGGUGGAGCUGCCUGCACAAAUGUGUCUCUGGCACAGCAGACCUGAGGUCUUUAACUAGGCCUUCACUGCUGCUCUGGUACCAAAGCCAGUGUUUCUGCUGAUAGAACAUCCACAGCAGGACUUGCUGUGCAGGACUUUUCAGCACAGCCUUGCUCUGAGUCAGGUCUGAGCUGCAGAUGAUGGCAAGCACAAACCAACCACCAGCACCAGGGCUCCCCUUCCCUGCCACGUGGGAUUCCACCCACCAGCUGCACUUGGAAGAGGCUGGGGGGGUAGAGCAAACUAAAUUCUUUGUGCUUUCAUGAGUCAUGAAAAAACCCCUCCAACUGUCUCAACAGUGCAUAUGUUUGGGUGUUUUCAAGGAAGCUGGAAUGCAUCCUCAGAGCUCUUCCAUGAGAAAAAGUAAACAUGUCAUAUAUAAAACAUUUUAUUAAACAACAUUUUAUACAACACUUUAUAUACAAAAAUAAAAUGUACAUGAAAAAUAA